AUGCGAUGAAAUGGAAACUUUACAUGCAUGUCUUUGUGUUGUGUCCCUCGCUAAAGCAUAUGUCUCUCACUGCAUUUUCCUUCCAAAAUUUCAAUGUCUGGAUCUUGUUCUUGGCAUUCUUUUCCCAGUAUCAAAGUAGCACAUUUCUUGCAGGAAUGUUAGUGCUGAAAUCACAGUCACAGGCAUUGCCAUUUAUUCUUGAAACGUGUGUGUCUGGUCAUGUAAGAAGCUUGAUUUGAGAUUUCGAAGAAGGGAUUCAAGGUAUCUGAAGAUACAAGAGAACAACACAGAGAGGACGUUGAGCAGACCCUUCAGCAAAAGCAAAUCAAUGUACUCCAUAGCAGAAGGGCUAAAGCAUUUUAAAGUCCACCUUGCAAAAUCCAACUCCCUUAAUCUAACCAUAACUACAAGCAAAAAUUUGGCCACUACAAAUGCAGAUAGUGUGACUGAAUGGUGGACAGCAUUUGUAUUUUUGGCUCGUUUAUCUGCUUACAUUGCAGUUAUAGGUAGGUUAAUUGUCUGCUUAAUUAUCAACCACUAAUCACACUUCCAAACGUAAAUAAUAUUUAAUUGCUUGUAUAGAAUAUAUAUAUAUAUAGGUAAAAGUUAAACAGUUGGGGAUCUUUUCUUUUUAAUCUUCAGAAAUAAUUAACAGUGUUUUUCAAUUAUACAGCCUUGAUGAUGCUUGUUGUUUUCCUGAUUAUGAAAUAUAUAACGGAUAAUGAUGAUGAAAGCAGCUCGGAUGAGGUAGGAUCAGCUACCGAGACUAACCCUUUACGACAAGGAAAGGCAAUGGCAUUUACCUAUGGAACAUGCAAUAUAGAUUUAGAAUCAGGAUGUUGCCAUGCUAGUAGCGGUGACAAUAACAGUAGUAGCAGCAAUAAAGCCUCGGCGGAAUUAUAUGAUGCCAAACUAUGCGUAAUCUGCUAUGAUGAGGAACGUAAUUGUUUCUUUGUUCCUUGUGGUCAUUGUGCUACCUGCUAUAUUUGUGCUCGAAGGAUUUUAAACGAGGAAAACAAGGUGUGUCCAGUAUGCCGGAGAUUCAUUGGCAAAGUAAGGAAACUAUUUGCCUAAUGGGAUUUAAUCAUUUGGCAGGUUAUGCUAUACUUUUGAUGUACAUUUAUCUGGGACUUUUUUUUAUCUAAACUUCGUUCAUUAUAAACUCAAGAUACAAGAUAUAUAGUGGGAUAUACCUGAUCUCCCAUAUUUAUAGUUUGAGUAUAUUAUAAACCAAGUAUAGGCAAAAAAUUUUCUAUGUAUCUCUAUUUAUUUCAUUGAGGAACCACAUAUUUGGAGCGAGA
rnacentral:misc_RNA from 1 species